rnacentral:tRNA from 1 species
GCUCAGUUGGUAAAGCACAAGGCUAUUAACCUUGUGGACGUGGAUUCAAGCCCCAU